UGGUGGAGUGAUUUGUCUGGUUAAUUCCGUUAACGAACGAGACCUCAACCUGCUAAAUAGAGGGGUAAAUCGCCUGCUCGGUGAAGGGUGGCCUGUGUCAUGGAGGCUUUGCCUCUGUGGCCAGACGCUUGGAUCCUGGGUGCAUUUAUUUCCUGCUUCUUAGAGGGACUACUUAUAUCUAAUAAGAGGAAGUUUGAGGCAAUAACA
rnacentral:rRNA from 1 species